rnacentral:rRNA from 1 species
CAUGGCUUGUUGACAAUAAUUUCAAGUYUCACCUGCCCACUGAUUGAUUGAAUGGCCGCGGUACUUUGACCGUGCAAAGGUAGCAUAAUCAUUAGUUUUUUAAUUGAAAGCUGGAAUGAAGGGUUGGAUGAAAAAAUAGCUGUCUCUAGGGAAAUUUAUUAAAAUUUUACUUUUAAGUGAGAAGGCUUAGAUUUUUAUAGAAGACGAGAAGACCCUAUAGAGUUUUAUUUACAUUUUUGUGAGUUUGAUUGAGGGUUUUUGCUUGUAUUACAAGAAUGUAAAUUUUGUUGGGGUGAUAGAAAAAUUUAAUAAACUUUUUUUUUAUUAUAAUAUUUGUUUGUAAGUAAAUGAUCCUUGUAUAAAGAUUAUAAGAGUAAAUUACCUUAGGGAUAACAGCGUAAUUUUUUCUAGAGUUCUUAUCGAAGGAAAAGUUUGCGACCUCGAUGUUGGAUUAAAAUUUACUGUUGGUGAAGAAGCUAAUAAGUUAGGUCUGUUCGACCUUUAAAAUUUUACAUGAUCUGAGUUUA